AGAGUUUGAUCAUGGCUCAGAUUGAACGCUGGCGGCAGGCCUAACACAUGCAAGUCGAACGGUAACAGGAAGCAGCUUGCUGCUUUGCUGACGAGUGGCGGACGGGUGAGUAAUGUCUGGGAAACUGCCUGAUGGAGGGGGAUAACUACUGGAAACGGUAGCUAAUACCGCAUAACGUCGCAAGACCAAAGAGGGGGACCUUCGGGCCUCUUGCCAUCGGAUGUGCCCAGAUGGGAUUAGCUAGUAGGUGGGGUAACGGCUCACCUAGGCGACGAUCCCUAGCUGGUCUGAGAGGAUGACCAGCCACACUGGAACUGAGACACGGUCCAGACUCCUACGGGAGGCAGCAGUGGGGAAUAUUGCACAAUGGGCGCAAGCCUGAUGCAGCCAUGCCGCGUGUAUGAAGAAGGCCUUCGGGUUGUAAAGUACUUUCAGCGGGGAGGAAGGCGAUAAGGUUAAUAACCUUGUCGAUUGACGUUACCCGCAGAAGAAGCACCGGCUAACUCCGUGCCAGCAGCCGCGGUAAUACGGAGGGUGCAAGCGUUAAUCGGAAUUACUGGGCGUAAAGCGCACGCAGGCGGUCUGUCAAGUCGGAUGUGAAAUCCCCGGGCUCAACCUGGGAACUGCAUUCGAAACUGGCAGGCUAGAGUCUUGUAGAGGGGGGUAGAAUUCCAGGUGUAGCGGUGAAAUGCGUAGAGAUCUGGAGGAAUACCGGUGGCGAAGGCGGCCCCCUGGACAAAGACUGACGCUCAGGUGCGAAAGCGUGGGGAGCAAACAGGAUUAGAUACCCUGGUAGUCCACGCCGUAAACGAUGUCGACUUGGAGGUUGUGCCCUUGAGGCGUGGCUUCCGGAGCUAACGCGUUAAGUCGACCGCCUGGGGAGUACGGCCGCAAGGUUAAAACUCAAAUGAAUUGACGGGGGCCCGCACAAGCGGUGGAGCAUGUGGUUUAAUUCGAUGCAACGCGAAGAACCUUACCUGGUCUUGACAUCCACAGAACUUUCCAGAGAUGGAUUGGUGCCUUCGGGAACUGUGAGACAGGUGCUGCAUGGCUGUCGUCAGCUCGUGUUGUGAAAUGUUGGGUUAAGUCCCGCAACGAGCGCAACCCUUAUCCUUUGUUGCCAGCGGUCCGGCCGGGAACUCAAAGGAGACUGCCAGUGAUAAACUGGAGGAAGGUGGGGAUGACGUCAAGUCAUCAUGGCCCUUACGACCAGGGCUACACACGUGCUACAAUGGCAUAUACAAAGAGAAGCGACCUCGCGAGAGCAAGCGGACCUCAUAAAGUAUGUCGUAGUCCGGAUUGGAGUCUGCAACUCGACUCCAUGAAGUCGGAAUCGCUAGUAAUCGUGGAUCAGAAUGCCACGGUGAAUACGUUCCCGGGCCUUGUACACACCGCCCGUCACACCAUGGGAGUGGGUUGCAAAAGAAGUAGGUAGCUUAACCUUCGGGAGGGCGCUUACCACUUUGUGAUUCAUGACUGGGGUGAAGUCGUAACAAGGUAACCGUAGGGGAACCUGCGGUUG
rnacentral:rRNA from 1 species